rnacentral:rRNA from 1 species
UACAGGGGGUGCAAACGUUGCUCGGAAUUAUUGGGCGUAAAGAGCUCGUAGGCGGCUCGGUAAGUCGGAUGUGAAACCUCCAGGCUCAACCUGGAGACGCCAUCUGAUACUGCCGUGGCUUGAGUCCGGUAGAGGAGCAGGGAAUUCCUGGUGUAGCGGUGAAAUGCGCAGAUAUCAGGAGGAACACCAGCGGCGAAGGCGCUGCUCUGGGCCGGUACUGACGCUGAGGAGCGAAAGCGUGGGGAGCGAACAGG